AUGGGUGUCGCAGAACUAUGUGACCAGGUCUGGGACUACAAAUACCGAGUCGAAUUACCAGUUGCAGAAAUCAGGGGGAUGCUUGAAAUUGGUGAUGGCCUUUGGGGAAUGGAGUUUGUUUCGGUGGAUGGUGGUGUGCUCAUGCUGGUCAGGAUUGAUCACUGGCUGCUUCAGGUUGACAGUGAUGGCAAAUUGAUUGCCAGUUUUGAUCAUGGUCGCCGAAGCCUCAUUGAGACCGGACAUCGGCUCAAACAAAGUCUUGUCGAGCAUACCUUCUUUCCAGCUCUACAAAGUUAUGCAUUGAACGCUUUGCCUUUCAUCUGA
rnacentral:rRNA from 1 species